GGGGAAUAUUGGGCAAUGGGCGAAAGCCUGACCCAGCGACGCCGCGUGGGUGAUGAAGGCCUUCGGGUUGUAAAACCCUCUCGUGCGGAAAGAAUAGUCCUGUAGCGAAUAACUACGGGAUUUGACGGUACCGCAGGAAGAAGCACCGGCUAACUCCGUGCCAGCAGCCGCGGUAAUACGGAGGGUGCAAGCGUUGUUCGGAAUUAUUGGGCGUAAAGGGCGCGUAGGUGGUUGUGAUAGUCAGAUGUGAAAUCCUUCGGCUCAACCGAAGAACUGCAUCUGAAACUUCAUAGCUCGAGUACAGGAGAGGGAAACGGAAUUCCCGGUGUAGAGGUGAAAUUCGUAGAUAUCGGGAGGAACACCAGUGGCGAAGGCGGUUUCCUGGCCUGAUACCGACGCUGAGGCGCGAAAGCGUGGGGAGCAAACAG
rnacentral:rRNA from 1 species